UUCUGCAAGAAGACAAAUCAGUGAUGUUAAACAUUGUGUCAUUUAAACAGGAUAUACUGCACUGUUUUUUCAAACAUCAAGAGGUCACAAGAUCAGUUUAACAAGUGGAGAUCAUCCUAAAAUAACCUUUACUGCAUUUUCUGUUACCAUUUACAAUACUACACCCAUUUUACCUCUGAGCACACUGUGGGUCACCAGGAAGGUCAGCAGUACCAGAUAGGAUCUUUUUCUGAGUGUAAGCAGUGAGCUGCUACAGCGGCAUGACUGCCUGCGGGGACUGAUACAGUUUUACUUUGUGUCCUGAGUGUACCUGGUGUAAAGGGGCUGACGGGAUCUGCUUUGGUGAAGGUCUGAGCAGCGCAGCGGUGUCCUCCAGCAGAGCUGCUAUGAGGCAGCAGCUCCAGGACACGAGCCCUUUCACUGGCGCAGUCCAACAGGUGUUUGCUGCUCUGACCCAGGGCCUGGAAGAGACAGAGCAGUGGACGGCCUCCUAGUCCUCCCCUCUGAGCUCCUCCUGUUGACGGUCAGAUCAGUCCUGAGGCUGCGCAGCAUCCUCUCAAGGUGACCCCUCUCCCUCUCCAGCUUGAUGCCCUCCUGGGUCACCCUGCCGGCUUGCCUGCGCAGCUGGCCCUCCACCUCCCGCACCCUUCGCAUGUACUCACCGGCCACGGCAAUGCUGGCCCCAGCACACCGCUCACGCAAGCUGAUGGAGUCACGAUUCUCUCCGCAUUCCUCCUCUGUGAUCUUAUCUUCGGUUGUUUCCGCUGUGCAGUCUGUGCGCUUUGGGGUAAAACUGGCGGCGGCGCUGCAGCUAGGGGGCCGGCUGGAAGUCCCGGAC